AUGAAAUGAAGACCAAUUGUACAUGAGCAGGAAACUGCCUAGGAAUAGUCUACAGCACGUUACCCAAGAGUAAAGCGUUAUUUUAAGUAGAGAUGCAAUCCAGCAGCAAUGUGCCUUACAUAGAACAACUGGUAGGAACCUCCCUAAGCUGCGAACCCUGAAGAAAGCUUGAAUAGACGUGACCGUUUUUUCCCCACAGAGUGCCUUGUUCAUUAAGGCAUCGGCAGAAGAGUCUGUAUCCUUUACGCAAUUACUCAGCAAGUGCUUUUAAAGACGCUGUAAUAGACUCAGGAAAGUCAUCUUCUCUCAGCAGAGGAAAUUCAAGACUGUUCUCUUGACCACCAGGCUGGUCUAGAACUAGAGACACUCACUCCUGCUGUGUUGGCCACUGAGUUUGGCCACUUCAGUAAAAGAUCGGUUUUUGACUGAAGAAGAAAUGAAUUACAAACUGGACAAAGAAAAAGAGGAACAAAAAUAUCAUUAUCAGCAUCAAAUACCCUAAGGCUGAUUUGUUAAAGCACUGCCACCUUCAUUUAUUUCAAAAGCGCACGAACAAAAGGUAACAGCUACGCAUGACAAGUGGAUGAAUUUACACAGACAUCAACGCUGCACAGAAGAACUACAGGAGAGGUAUUUGCGGCUGCAGUUCAGAACAACCCAGUACUCAGCAUCAUUGUAACUAACAGUGGUAAAAGCCACUCCAGGACCUGCUAGGAAGAUAUUGAAAGGAAGGCAAGAUUCUCAAGACUAAGGCAGCUCCACCAAAGAUACGAAAAGACUGAAAAGAAAUCCAGCAACCUGAAAAAGAAACUCAACUUUUUUCAUUACUGAUUAAAACAACUUCAUUUCGGAAGAGCUGUCUCCACACCACCUGAAUGUUCCAAAAGAGCAAAACUCCACAACACAACACAAGACAACGCAACGCAACACUUUCAUGAAUUCUAUUUGGUAAAAGGUAACGCUUUUCACAGCAUGCAGUAACUCACUCAACUUUUAAUAUUGCACUUACCCUCAGCAGGCAGUUUCACAAUUCGUAUUGAAGAGAUUUAACUGCAGCAAUGAUAUCAGACAACUGUUUCAGCCAGAAUUACUUUAUCAACACUUGACUUACAUCCUUUGCACUACUAACACUCUAACAACUGCAGGGGAACAGGUCAGGGCUUGCACUGGUGAUUGAGCACCUGGUGAAGGGGUGUGGCUGGCCCAGGGAGCACAGGCAGACUGUUUGCACCUGUGCUCCCCAGCGCACCAGAAGGGGUGGACACAGGUGGAGCCCCCUGAGCUCAUAUAAGGGCCAGCCACUGAAGGGAGAGCAUGGCUUGGAUCUGGGCUGCUUCUGAGGAGGGGUACUGCACAGCCAUAAUCUGCUUCACCAGCUGGGUGAGUGCUAUUCUUCUUUCUGAGCAGGACUAUUGGUCUACCUACAAAUGCUUUGGUAUCACCAAAAACCUGACAAAAAAGAUUUUUUUUUUCUUUGUGAGUAGAAUAACAGCUUAGCCUUUGUAAUUAAGUUUUACAUGCAGACAAUGCAAAUUUACCAGUUACCACAGCGUUAAAAUAGUAAACAAGUCUUUAGGAUGCUUUUGAAAAAGUUUUUGUGAUGAAAAAUGGUCUUGGAAAUUAAAGAAAAAAAACUUGCAGUAGAACUAUCAAUAGGCUUGCAGGACUUUGUGGAAGAAUCUGUGAUUUUCACAAAUUACUGAUACAUGACAGUAUGAUAUGACAUGUACCGUUGGGAAGCAACAAGCUCUAUUAGGAGUUUUUUGUUAAGGAACAAAUUAUUAAAACUGUUUCCUUCCACAAGAAAAGCCACUAAGGCAACAACAAAAAAUUACCAAAAGUAACUGUAAUACAUACCAACUCAGCACAGAGUAGCUGCAGCUUUGUUUAAGCCAGCUAACAAGGGUAAAAAAAGAUAUGACAAUACUACAGGUCCUACGAAUGCAGCACAGGGGUAAGUCUCUGGGGAGUGGGGAAGACCAGAGAAAACAACCCCAGCAAUGGCAGCAGGAAAGAACCCCCUGCUGCCAUCACUGCCCUCAACUCUCACAUGCUCAUGAACAACCAUUUCUGUUGCUCCCUGUGCAAUAGCUCCUAAGGCUUCAUAAUGGGGAAAAUAUCAGAGAGGAUGAAGGAUAGAGGAGGCUGGAAGGAGAUACGUGGUAUCUGUUUUAUUUAGCAUAUUUUUCCACUUGAUACACAUGUGAGAGAAAUGAUAAGGUUCUCUAACUUUAAAUAGCCUUUUCUAGAUGUAAGUACAACACUGACACAGACUGACCAGAGCUGGACAAUGUUGUCACCCUUCUUGCUUUUGUUACUUUCAAAUCCUUGUCUGCUAGAAAUUGGCUCCUAAGCUGUAAUAAACUGCAGGAAACGGUAUGGGGAUUUGGGUCUGUGCUAACACAACUUAAGCAAAACAGCUCUCCGAUGUCUUUGUAUCUACAACCAUGACAGAACACUGACACCAUGCAACAGUACCAGAACAUCUCAGAAGAGGUCAGAUAUAAUAGUUAGAACAAUACAUGAUUACCUUAAUAAUCCAACAUCGGAGUGUAACUGUCAUCUGACAGGAAAAAUCCUUCAAUUUACCACUUGCCCUACUCAAAAUCAGUAUAUUUUUUAGCAGCAAUGACUUCAGUUCUUCAAUACUUGUUA
ensembl:lncRNA